rnacentral:rRNA from 1 species
GACGAACGCUGGCGGCGGGCUUAACACAUGCAAGUCGAACGAAAAUACCAAGGUUGCUUGCUUUAUUAGUUGCCAACGGGUGGGUAACACGUGAGUAACCUGCCCCUUACUUUCCUGUAUAACUGCUCGAAGGGGUAGCUAAUACGGUAUAUUCUGACCAGCCUGCAUGGGUUGAUUUGGACAUGGUGUUUUUCUGGUAUGGGAUGGGCUCGCUGGAUAUCAGCUGGUGGGUGGGGUGAUGGCCUACCAAGGCUUGGACGGGUAGCUGUCAUGAGAGGGUGGAAGGUCAGACUGGGACUGCGAUACGGACCAGAAUCGUACGGGAGGGAGGGGUGGGGAAGAUUGCAGGAUGGGGGCUAGCCCGAUGAAGCGACGCGGCGUGAGGGAGGAAGGCGUUCGGGUUGUCAACCUCUUUCGUAAGAAAACAAGGAACUGAUUUUUUGGUGGUGUUGACGGUACCUGGAUAAGAAGCGCCGGCUAACUACGUG